GAUGAACGCUGGCGGCGUGCCUAAUACAUGCGAGUCGAGCGAACGGACGAGAAGCUUGCUUCUCUGAUGUUAGCGGCGGACGGGUGAGUAACACGUGGAUAACCUACCUAUAAGACUGGGAUAACUUCGGGAAACCGGAGCUAAUACCGGAUAAUAUUUUGAACCGCAGGGUUCAAAAGUGAAAGACGGUCUUGCUGUCACUUAUAGAUGGAUCCGCGCUGCAUUAGCUAGUUGGUAAGGUAACGGCUUACCAAGGCAACGAUGCGUAGCCGACCUGAGAGGGUGAUCGGCCACACUGGAACUGAGACACGGUCCAGACUCCUACGGGAGGCAGCAGUAGGGAAUCUUCCGCAAUGGGCGAAAGCCUGACGGAGCAACGCCGCGUGAGUGAUGAAGGUCUUCGGAUCGUAAAACUCUGUUAUUAGGGAAGAACAUAUGUGUAAGUAACUGUGCACAUCUUGACGGUACCUAAUCAGAAAGCCACGGCUAACUACGUG
rnacentral:rRNA from 1 species